GGGAAUGGAAUAGAAACGGGAUUUUCGGACUCUGAGGAGACUUGAAACUAAUAAUAUAAUCGUAGGUUGGUCUAACUGGAAUUUUGUGUUGAAUUAUAUAUAUUUGAGCUGUGUUUUGGAAUCUGGUUCUGGUCCACGUUUCCAAAUGAUAUUUCAAAAGUUACAAACACAAUGCAUAAAAUAUAUCAUUUUCUUGGAACUUUCCUUUGUCUUGGCUUCUAAUAAGCUUUCAUGAGAUUAAAAUGUUGAAAUGGUUUUGAUUGUAAUCCCUAGAUGCUG
rnacentral:lncRNA from 1 species